GGUCCCGUGGUGAAACAGGAUAUCACGCUAGCCUCCUAAGCUGUCGUUCCGGGUUCGAGUCCCGGCGGGGCCACCA
rnacentral:tRNA from 1 species